CCCAGACUCCUACGGGAGGCAGCAGUGGGGGAUAUUGCACAAUGGGGGGAACCCUGAUGCAGCGACGCCGCGUGGGUGAAGGAGUAUUUCGGUAUGUAAAGCCCUAUCGGCAGGGAAGAAGCAAGACGGUACCUGACUAAGAAGCCCCGGCUAACUACGUGCCAGCAGCCGCGGUAAUACGUAGGUGGCAAGCGUUGUCCGGAUUUACUGGGUGUAAAGGGCGUGUAGCCGGGCUGACAAGUCAGAUGUGAAAUCCGGGGGCUCAACCCCCGAACUGCAUUUGAAACUGUUGGUCUUGAGUAUCGGAGAGGCAGGCGGAAUUCCUAGUGUAGCGGUGAAAUGCGUAGAUAUUAGGAGGAACACCAGUGGCGAAGGCGGUCUGCUGGACAGCAACUGACGCUGAGGCGCGAAAGCGUGGGGAGCAAACAGGAUUAGAUACCCGAGUAAU
rnacentral:rRNA from 1 species